UUCAUCAACUCUCAAGGUAGUAUAAAAACACUAGAAGUAAAAAAUACAUUCAAGGUAGUACAAAGAACACUAGAAGUAAAAAAUACAUCUAGGUCCGUAGACCACCUAGCGACGACUACUAGGACUGGAGUGAGCCGAGGGCACGCCGCCAUCUUCGUCCCUCCGUCAUCGGAGUCGGGCAAACCUUAUUGUAGUAAACAGUCGGGAAGUCGUCGUGCUAAGGCCCCAUAAGACGAGCGCACCAGAAAAAACAUCCGCCUCCGAUGAAGAUAAGCAUAGAUCAGAAGAAUGGAACCUAUAGACACACGAACAUAGACGAACAAAGACAAGAUCCACGUGAAUCCACCGAAGACAAAGGCCGACCGAAUCCCGCAAGAUCCGCCAGAGACAAUCCUCCACAUGCCCUCCGACGAAGCUAGAAACACCACCGGGAUGGGGACAAGGCGGGACGAACCUUAUUCCAUCUGCAGAGAGUCGCCGCCGCCUCGACUCUCUGAGCAGGAUACAAACCCUAACAAAACUCAAAAGAGUAUGAAAAAAUGGAGCCCUCCCGCCGGCAAGGGCGGGAUCCACCACGCCUUCAUGGCCCUAAGACCACAGAAGACGAGAUAGACCGACGGCCAUGGGCGGAUUUGGGCCCCAGGCAGCCCAGGCCAUUGCCUGGGCCGUGGGAAAAAUUGUCGGCCUAUAUUUCCAAAAAAAAAAGUUUGGCCUGGGGCGCAGCCCAGUACCAAGCCCAGGCCAACUGGCCCUGCCGCCCAGGCCAAGUCACACGCAGGCCGCAGCAUCUCGCAUCGCAACCAGGCACAGCCAGCGCUCUGCCCCCGACCUGAGUACCUGACGAACCCUAAGCCAUCGCCGGUCGCCGCCCGGCGCCCGCCGUCGCCGGUCGCCACCAAUCGUCGAGGUCCAGCUCCGUGCACCCCGGAUCUCCCUUUCCAGCACCCCCCGGAUCUCCCCCUUCCAGCGCCCACCCCCUCCCCCCGGCUGCACCGCUGUGGCCUGCGGCCUACGGCUGCUGUCCUGUUCGUCGUGUCCGGCGACGCGGCGAGGGCGCAAGGCGGCGAACCCGGCUAGGGCGCGAGUGGUGCGAGGCUGCAGCCUGCAGGCAGCUCGGCGUCCAGCGAGAUGCCAUCUAUUGUUUAUAGAUGCCAUCUUAGUACGGCGAACCCGAUUUCAAGGUUAUCGCACACGUAAAGGUGUUUUGACUCGUCCUACACGUUUAGCGAUGUCUGCUAUUGAAGAUGUACUCAUGGGAGGCUCGGAUCAACCAAUCAUUUGAUUUGGCAACUAUCUUCGUCGGGACAAUUGUCGCCGUAAAUAAACCGUGAACUGAAGUACGGAAAACGUGUGCAUGCUUGAUUUGUUGGGUUAGGUACAUAAUCAUCAUAUAGAUUGUUCGAUUUCCCAAGAAAUGAGCGAAGUUGGAAAAAGUGUACCACUGGGAAUGAAGGUUUGGCCAGCUCUCUGGGAGUAACUUCAAGAUCACCAAGAUUAUGUAAUCAUAUUGUUGGCUCAUUGAAAAGUUUAAUGUCGCCUUCUACAUGCAUUUUGACAUAACUGUUGCUAAAAUUUUGAAUAUUUCAAUAUAAUCACAAUGAUUCUAGACGA